rnacentral:rRNA from 1 species
CCUACGGGAGGCAGCAGUAGGGAAUUUUCCACAAUGGGCGAAAGCCUGAUGGAGCAACGCCGCGUGGGUGAAGAAGGUCUUCGGAUCGUAAAACCCUGUUGGUAGAGAAGAAAGUGCGUGAGAGUAACUGUUCACGUUUCGACGGUAUCUAACCAGAAAGCCACGGCUAACUACGUGCCAGCAGCCGCGGUAAUACGUAGGUGGCAAGCGUUAUCCGGAUUGAUUGGGCGUAAGGGGAACGCAGGCGGUCUUUUAAGUCUGAUGUGAAAGCCUUCGGCUUAACCGGAGUAGUGCAUUGGAAACUGGGAGACUUGAGUGCAGAAGAGGAGAGUGGAACUCCAUGUGUAGCGGUGAAAUGCGUAGAUAUAUGGAAGAACACCAGUGGCGAAAGCGGCUCUCUGGUCUGUAACUGACGCUGAGGUUCGAAAGCGUGGGUAGCAAACAGGAUUAGAUACCCCAGUAGUC